rnacentral:rRNA from 1 species
AUUGAACGCUGGCGGCAUGCUUUACACAUGCAAGUCGAACGGUAACAGGCCGCAAGGUGCUGACGAGUGGCGAACGGGUGAGUAAUGCAUCGGAACGUGCCCAGUCGUGGGGGAUAACGCAGCGAAAGCUGCGCUAAUACCGCAUACGAUCUAUGGAAGAAAGCGGGGGACCGUAAGGCCUCGAGCGAUUGGAGCGGCCGAUGUCAGAUUAGGUAGUUGGUGGGGGAAAGGCUAACCAAGCCAACGAUCUGUAGCUGGUCUGAGAGGACGACCAGCCACACUGGGACUGAGACACGGCCCAGACUCCUACGGGAGGCAGCAGUAGGGAAUUUUGGACAAUGGGCGCAAGCCUGAUCCAGCAAUGCCGCGUGCAGGAAGAAGGCCUUCGGGUUGUAAACUGCUUUUGUACGGAACGAAACGGUCCGGGUUAAUACCCCGGGCUAAUGACGGUACCGUAAGAAUAAGCACCGGCUAACUACGUGCCAGCCGCCGCCGUAA